AUGGAGGGGGCGGGAACAGCACUACUGUGGAGCCAGGUGGGCUCGCCGCUGGCAUCCUUCCCGGCGAUGCUGUUCACGGUGGCGGCCAUGGCGGCCGGCGCAUUCGCAGUGUACUUCUACGCGCCGUCAUGGCGCCUGCGCAGUGUGCCGGGCCCCCUCGCUUACGGCCUCGUCGGCCACCUGCCGCUGCUGGACAAGCAUGGCUCCCAGGCGUUCGGCGUCCUCGCAAAGAAAUACGGGCCCAUCUACAGGUUCUACAUGGGCAGGCAGCCGCUGGUGGUGGUCGCCGACCCGGAGCUGUGCAGGGAGGCCGGCAUCAAGAAGUUCAAGAGCAUCGUCGACAGGAGCGUGCCGGUCACCAUCGCUAGCUCGCCCAUCCACUACAAGAGCCUCCUCUUCACCAAGGGCUCGACAUGGCAGGCGAUGCGGAACGUGAUCAUCUCCAUCUACCAGCCAUCGCACCUGGCGAGCCUCAUCCCGGCCAUCCAGCCCUACAUCGAGCAGGCGGGCAACCUGUUCUGCCCCGGCGAGGAGAUCACCUUCUCUGACAUCUCCAUCAGGCUCUUCACCGACGUCAUCGGCCAGGCCGCCUUUGGCGUCGACUUCGGGCUCACCAAGGACGCCGCCGACGACGCCGAGAAGAUCAUCCACGACGCGCCCCGCGACUUCAUCCAGAAGCACCUGUACGCCACCACGUCCCUCAAGAUGGACCUGUCGGGCUCGCUGUCCAUGCUCGUCGGCACGUUCCUGCCGGCGCUCCAGAAGCCGCUGCGGCAGCUGAUGCUGCGCGUGCCGGGCUCCAUGGACCGGCGGAUGGACGAGACCAACACGGCGCUCAGCGGCGAGCUCGACACCAUCGUGGCGGAGCGGGCGGCUCAGGCGGACCGGGGCCAGAAGAACUUCCUCUCCGUGCUGCUCAACGGCAUCGACACCAGCGACGCCAUGAGGAAGCUCUUCACGCCGGACUACGUCAGCGCGCUCACGUACGAGCACUUGCUCGCGGGCUCCGGCACCAUGUCCUUCACGCUGUCGAGCCUGGUGUACCUCGUGUCGGCGCACCCGGAGGUGGAGGGGAAGCUGCUCCAGGAGAUCGACGCGUUCGGGCCCAAGGACGUGGUGCCCGACGCCGACGACCUCCGCACCAAGUUCCCCUACCUGGAGCAGGUCGUCAAGGAGACCAUGCGAUACUUUCCCGGCUCCCCGGUGGUCUCGAGGGAGGCGACCGCCGACGUCGAGAUCGGAGGCUAUUUCCUGCCCAAGGGGACGUGGGUGUGGCUGGCGACGGCGGUGCUGGGGAGGGACCCGGAGCAGUUCCCGGAGCCCGAAGCGUUCCGGCCGGAGCGCUUCGACCCGGAGAGCGAGCAGUGCAAGCGGAGACACCCCUACGCGUACAUCCCCUUCGGCAUCGGCCCGCGGGCGUGCCCGGGGCAGAAGUUCGCGUUCCAGCAGCUCAAGCUCACCGUCAUCCACCUCUACCGCCGCUACGUCUUCAGGCACUCGACCAGCAUGGAGUCCCCACUGCAGCUGCAGUUCUCCAUCGUCACCAACUUCAAGAACGGUGUCAAGCUCCAGGUCGUUCAAAGGAAGAACUAA
rnacentral:rRNA from 1 species